UCUAGCUACCAUUCAUAUUACAGGCUAGUAGCAAACAUAUAGUGGGGACUGGCAUGGCUAGGAGACAAGCUAGGGUAGAUAAUAUAAGGUUAACAAGCUAAACUGCCGCCAUGCAAAAUGCUGCUCGCUAUAAGGACACAGCUGUUUUACAUGAGAGUCUGUGUAGGUUUCUAAAGUAAAGGAUCUCCACUGGGGCUAUGCUAUCGGUAGUACUCUGCAUUACUUAAAGCUAGUCAUGGAGAGACAUUUGGAAAU